rnacentral:sRNA from 1 species
GCUGGGUGCAGUGGUGCACGCUUGUAAUCCCAGCUACUCAGGAGGCUGAGGCAGGAGGAUUGCAGCUUCCAGGACAGCCAGGCAACUUAGCAAGACCCUGUCUCAA